AUGCCCAGAUGGAAUUUUAAUUUAGCUUCAACAGUUGGAUCUCUAGCAACACAACAGCAGAUCCGAUAGAAGUUGCCUCUCCAAACCCACUCUGUCAACUUCUAAAGAUAUGCCAAAACAAGUUCUCCAAGCAACACUCCCCCUUAAUCAAGUUCAGAUGGCCUGACUGUUGGCAAGGCUGCUAUCACAAUCAGCAAACCAACUCCCUAUUUCAAUAAGAAGUCCAUGAGAACUCCUUUUCCAUGUUUUGAAUUCUCACGAUCUAAUUUGUCAAUUUUUACAGCGACGAUAGCCGUGGGUGGCAUCGGGCUAGUUGUGAUGGCGAUACUGACCGUCAGGGGUGUCCAUAUAUAAGAUCAGAAUGCAGUCAAUCAAUGCUUCAAGGCAGAUAGACAGCAGCACCAUCACAACCACACAACUGAUAUCUGCAAUGCACAAGGACUCGACAUUUGAAAUGGAACCGAUCGAGAAGUCCGUUGAGGACAUCCGAAGGUAGCAGUUAAGGUCCUCUAAAGAGCUGAGGAGCAAGUCAUGGCAGAAGUUGGUACAGUUGAAGAACUUGGUCAAGCUCUCUUGGAUUCUGCUUCAAUAAAAUGGUGAAAGCACUAUGAGUACAUGGAGAGUGGAUCACUUAACUAACACUUAUUUGAUCAGAUCCACAGCAUUGAACUGAGAGAGUCACAUGAGAUUGCAAGUCUUCAAACUUU
rnacentral:lncRNA from 1 species